rnacentral:tRNA from 1 species
AGGAAAAUCAACGCUUUGGCGAGAGUCCGCUUCGUUGACAUCGAGGGGGUCGCAAGUUCAAUCCUUGCCGCGUCCACCA